rnacentral:rRNA from 1 species
UACGUAGGGUGCAAGCGUUGUCCGGAAUUAUUGGGCGUAAAGAGCUCGUAGGCGGUUUGUCGCGUCUGCUGUGAAAACCCGAGGCUCAACCUCGGGCCUGCAGUGGGUACGGGCAGACUAGAGUGCGGUAGGGGAGAAUGGAAUUCCUGGUGUAGCGGUGGAAUGCGCAGAUAUCAGGAGGAACACCGAUGGCGAAGGCAGUUCCCUGGGCCGUAACUGACGCUGAGGAGCGAAAGCGUGGGGAGCGAACAGG